GACUUUGGCCGGGGUGUCUACUACAUGGUGGUCGACGGGUGCACCUGGAUUCGUCUGGGGGUGAGAGUGGCGGCGGGUGAGUAACACGUAGGUGACCCGCCCCAAAGCGGGUUAUAACUACUGGAAACGGUGGCUAAUACCCCAUGUGCUCGGUGGUUCGGUCCAUCGAGUAAAGCUCCGGCGCUUUGGGAGGGGCCUGCGGCCAAUCAGGUAGUUGGUGGGGUAAUGGCCUACCAAGCCAAUGACGGGUAGGGGGCGUGAGAGCGUGAUCCCCCACACUGGCACUGAGAUACGGGCCAGACUCCUACGGGAGGCAGCAGUGAGGAAUAUUGCCCAAUGGACGCAAGUCUGAGGCAGCAACGCCGCGUGAGCGAUGAAGGCCUUCGGUUUGUAAAGCUCUUUUCUGGGGGACGAGUGAGGACGGUACCUCAGGAAUAAGUCACGGCUAACUACGUGCCAGCAGCCGCGGUAAUACGUAGGUGGCCGAGCGUUAUCCGGUUUUACUGGCCGUAAAGCGCGUGUAGGCGGUUUCGUAAGUCGGAUGUGAAAGCUUCCUGGCUCAACUGGGAGAGGUCAUUCGAUACUGCGGAACUUGAUGUCGGGAGAGGGACGUGGAAUUCCCGGUGUAGUGGUGGAAUGCGUAGAUAUCGGGAGGAACACCAGUGGCGAAAAGCGACGUCCUGGCCCGCACCUGACGCUAAGACGCGAAAGCGUGGGGAGCGAACGGCAUUAGAUACCCCGGUAGUCCACGCUGUAACGGGUGGAUACUAGGGUGUUGGUGGCUAUCGUCAUCAGUGCGUAGCUAACGCGUUAAGUAUCCCGCCUGGGGACUACGGCCGCAAGUUA
rnacentral:rRNA from 1 species